rnacentral:rRNA from 1 species
GGGAAGAGCUCAAAUUUGAAAUCUGAUGGCCUCAGGCUAUCCGAGUUGUAAUCUAUAGAAACAUUUUCCGCGUUGGCCCAUGUACAAGUCUCUUGGAAUAGAGCGUCAUAGAGGGUGAGAAUCCCGUCCUUGACAUGGACUACCAGUGCUUUGUGAUAUGUUUUCAACGAGUCGAGUUGUUUGGGAAUGCAGCUCAAAAUGGGUGGUAAAUUCCAUCUAAAGCUAAAUAUUGGCGAGAGACCGAUAGCGAACAAGUACCGUGAGGGAAAGAUGAAAAGCACUUUGGAAAGAGAGUUAAACAGUAUGUGAAAUUGUUGAAAGGGAAACGAUUGAAGUCAGUCGUGUCUAUUGGACUCAGCCGGUUCUGCCGGUGUACUUCCUUUAGACGGGGUCAACAUCAGUUUUGAUCGCUGGAAAAGGGCAGGAGGAAUGUAGCACUCUCGGGUGAACUUAUAGCCUCUUGUCGUAUACAGUGGUUGGGACUGAGGAACGCAGCUUGCCUUUAUGGCCGGG